CCUACGGGAGGCAGCAGUGAGGAAUAUUGGUCAAUGGGCGCGAGCCUGAACCAGCCAAGUAGCGUGAAGGAUGACUGCACUACGGGUUGUAAACUUCUUUUAUAAGGGAAUAAAACGAGGCACGUGUGCCUUUUUGCAUGUACUUUAUGAAUAAGGAUCGGCUAACUCCGUGCCAGCAGCCGCGGUAAUACGGAGGAUGCGAGCGUUAUCCGGAUUUAUUGGGUUUAAAGGGGGCGUAGAUGGGUUGUUAAGUCAGGUGUGAAAGGUUGGGGCUCAACCGUAAAAUUGCAAUUGAUACUGGCAGUCUUGAGUACAGUUGAGGUAGGCGGAAUGCGUGGUGUAGCGGUGAAAUGCUUAGAUAUCACGAAGAACCCCGAUUGCGAAGGCAGCUUACUAAACUGUGACUGACAUUGAUGCUCGAAAGUGUGGGUAUCAAACAGGAUUAGAUACCCCAGUAGUC
rnacentral:rRNA from 1 species